CGUUGCCAUGCCGACCCCUGGGACCUGACCUCCCAAGGGGUGAGAGGUCAUCCUCCCAGCCUGCUGCUGUUGCCCCGGUGAUGAACGGCAUCCUGAGAAGGAUAACGACUUCAAUUUUAGUGGACAUGGCUGAAAUCAACCUUCAUCACGGGGAAACCAGUGUUGUGAUGCCGAGUGACGAUCUGCAGACUGAACAUUUGGCUCUGCAGAGACGGGCUGGAGUGGAAAACCUCUGGACGUCACCCUGGACUCUGAAAAGGUUACUUUGCUUUAAAGAAGAAAGAAAUGGAGCUGAGGUCAUGAUGGAGGACGUUACAGAAUCACAGAUGCAGACAGAACCAUCCGUCAAAGAGAAGUCCAGAGUGACUCCUUCAGGAGAAACAUCGAGUCCUGCAGAGAGAAGACGAGUCAGGGAGGACAUCUCUGUCAGGAGACUACGGAAGCCUAAAGCGUCCAUGCAUAAAAAUUAAUUUAACUCAUAACUUGUUUCUGACUUGAGAUCUCCACAUAUCUGUUACCGCAGCAUGAAACUUGUUUUCAAGUUUAUUUCAGACAUUUUUUCUGAGAUUUUGAGAUUUAUUAUUCCAGGAAAACCAACAUUUUAAUCUCCAGAAAACUCUCACAGGAAAAUAUAAAGUAUGGACAUACUGGACGUACACUCUGGGCUUCCUUAGGGGAAAAACUUUAUCUUAAAUUAUUUGAAGAUGAGUUUGAAUUCUCUGACUUCUUAUUGAUAAAAAAUGAAGAGACGGACUGAGAGAAAGAGAAGGUCAGAUGUUUAAUAAGUAUCUACUUUGGUGCUUUGGUAAAAUCGCUCCUGAAAGAAGAAUGUUCAGAAAUGUUUGCUUAAAGUUGAGGAACAAUCGAGGUACCGACUGUCUGUAAAUAAUUAGUUACCGGGUAGAUUGUGAAAAACUUUUUGUCAGAUUUUGGAGAGAAGCUGAGGAUAAUAGAGACUCUUAGAUGUUAUGAAGAAAGAAGUAAAACGAGCUGAGAGAAGACGAGGCGAGGCGAUGGAAAGUAUCGAAGCAUAAGUCCUGACUUGCGGCUCAGUGGAAGUAAUUUAAGAUUUUUCUGGAAAUGUUUCAUAAUUUUUCUUCUCCUCCAAUCAAACAAACAGCAGCGAGUGAACGAUGUGCAACACAAGCCGAGUGUUUACACUGCAGAGAAAUAAUGAACGUCUUUGUUUAAGAGCUGCACACACACACACACACACACACACACGCACACACACACACACACACACACACACACACACACUCACUCUCUCUCCUAUAGUAGAGCAGGGUCUCUCUAUCAUUUUAAUCCCACCCACUCUCUCUCUCUCCCCUCUCUCUCUCUAGCUCUCUCUCCCAUCCUCUCGCCAACCCACAUCCAGUGACAUCACCGCUUCAUUACCCAAUCACCAGCCGUCCCAUCAGUCACUGUCACAGCCCCCACCAAUCGGCCGCUGUAUGAUAAUCCCCCUCCAGCCAAUCAUGUGAGAGGAGCUCUGCUGUGGCUGUAUAUAAACCAGCUGCUCUGAUGGAAACCAGACGCUCCAAGAGAGAUGUUGAUGAUGAUGAUGAUGAGGAGGAUGAUGUAAUUCUGUUGAGUCAGCACUGACUCCAAAGCCAAUCCUUACAUCACACAGUCCUCCCAUCUCCCUUCUUUUAUCCUCAAUGAGAGUGUUUUCCGUUCACAGAGUUUGCAGAAGUUCAGCCAUCAGUACAGAUACUUGUCUAAAAAGAAACUCAUGGUAAAAGUAGAAGUAAGAGUCGAGUCUUCACCUUCAUCCAUGUGGCUCCAAGUUCUCCCUGUCGCUCACAGACACCACGUUCACUAGACGCCUCUUCAGACGUCUUUUUCACACUUCCCUUCAGCUAUACGUCCGUCCUGUGUCUCAUCCACUGAAGGACACACCGAGGAAACUACUUGUCUUUGCGUUAUUCUUACGUUCCCAGAGAUGGCUGGUGCAUGAGGAGAGUAACAACCAGUAAAGAAAUAUCUCAUGUCACAGAGAUUCUCUUGAAUUUAUCAAUCGUUGCAAUACACCAUCAUGUGAUCAUUAAAGUAGAAUACUCGUGUGUAAAAGGCCCUGCUGGGUAAACUGCUUUGCAAUGUUCUGGUUCAGACCUGCAGCAGUUUCCACUGGUCCUCCACUAGAUGGCGUCCUUACUCAGUUCGGAGGGCUGGCACAGAACUUCUCCGGUGAUGCGCCUCAGAUUUGUAAAAAAAAUAUGCAGAACUUUCUACAUCUAAGUAAUCUGUUACCUUCAGAAACACGGGUCCUGUUCAGGAAGAAACAAGCAUAACAUAAAAACAAAGGAAACAAACAGAUUCACGACAUGACAGAAGAUAAAAUACACUACAGGUGGUCAGUUGUUGUAAUGACAGCAACUGGCCACCAGAGGGCGACAUUUCCCUCCCAAUGGAUUGAUUGGUCCGUACUUGUCGAUGCUUGAUAUUUGACUGCUUGCACUAAUAACACAUGCUUUGUUUACUGCUCGUUUCCCCAACAGCGUAGCACAUUUUAGUGGCUGCUGUAAAUGAAGAGGCUAAAAUUAUACCUGUAAACAUAACUUAAUGUUACAACAACUGCUCUAUAAUACAUGUAGACUUACUUUGGCUACAUCUUCACAUUUAUAAAACGAAAAGUUCAAACUUCAAUUAGUCUCUUACUGUUAAUCUCUUAAAAAAUAUUACCGAAACAUUUUCUAUUCAGAGUAUGAAGAAGUUUGAAGAGUUUGAAGAACAGAGGCAAAAAACGAUGUUCGCCCAACGUGGGGCUCGAACCCACGACCCUGAGAUUAAGAGUCUCAUGCUCUACCGACUGAGCUAGCCGGGCGGUGCUGUUACUGCAGUAAUAUAUCCUACCUGAAGGGUCGCUGUCCUCUUUGUGUUCUCUGGUGAGUCUGUGAUUUAACGACGUAGAAGAAAUGAGUGAAAAUAAUAACAUAAAAUAAACGACAGGAGGUCAAUUAUUCACAUCGUCCUCCCGUCCCAUAGCAGAAGGUAAAGGAGGGUCACAUUUAUCUUUACUCUUUUAUUAGUAUUUUAAACAAGACUAACUCCACUUUAACCCAUUGAUGGAACUUCCGGUGUGAUUUCAUGUUAGUACAACAGGUGUGAAUGUUUUCAGGUGAUUUCAGCCUCUAACCACAACAGUCGUUUUCUGUCACUAUGUGAUGAACAUUGUUUUUUUUGUUUUUUUUUAUCUUUGAAUCCUAGCACAGCAAGAGAUAUUUAAGUCUUUGCAUACUCCACAGAUCAAUUGUUUUUUAAAUUUAUUCUUAAGGUGACUUCUGAAUUUCCAAACUGACCUUUCAGUUUUUUUUAAAAAUACGUGUUUGAAGAUUAUAUUGGCACAUUUUGUGUGUGUUUAUGUGUGUGUGUGUGUGUGUGUGUGUGUGUGUGUGUG